CUCACAAGUAGAAUCUGCAACUCGCAAAACGGGGACUUUCUGUCUUCUGAUACUACAGCCAUAUAGGCAACCCGAUGAAGGGGGGAUAUAAUUAAUUUCCCAUGAAUCGUGCGAACAACACCCUGAAAUAAAAUGUGUAGCCUACAUGGAUAUCAGACAAGGCGAACUUCCAGGAUCGACGAUAUGGCGUGGACCAUCGUUGGAUGUGUAUGGAGGAGGAUGCAGACAUGAAUGAAACAUUUCGCUGAUUCUUAUUUUUUGGCAAAGCACACAUUAAAAAAACCAAAAAAAAAAACAACAAAUGGACCACCUCUUCACCAUUUUUCACUCAAGCUGGAUUCAGGCUUGCUAUCAUUUUGAAUCGAGCUCCAAAAAAUUCAGUGCUUGUGACGAAUUUAACCCUGUAUGGUCAACAAGAUUGGCCAAAGUGCUCCAUCACGCUGUAAUGGCCGCCUAAAGCAUCGAAUCCCUUUAUGCGUUUAUUUUUUCUGCGUUUGACUUGGACAGAUAAUGCAUUCAACUUUCAUGGUGAUACAUACAGGAUAUUUUUUUUUUUUACCUUCUUUCGUGAAAUUUCAUAAAAGCAAAGCCAGAUGGGCUCUUGGGGGUCUCUUGGGAUAGACAAAGGCCAUUAAAUGUAUUCUCAACGGAAAUGUGUUCAUUCCGGAAUUUCGUAGCAUUAAUAGCCCACCAAGCCGUAUCAUUUUAAAUAAAUAAAAAUUUGUACUCGUGGAUAUUUAUUGCCGUAUAAAAGAUGGCGUAUCUUGCAUUGUGUAUUUGCAUUUAAUCUUGUGUACUACUUCAGAUAGAAUCAUGAUGCAUAUAAAUGUUGAGAAUGCUUACACGUUUCAUGCCCAGUGUUUAGACUUGUUCAUAUGUAUGGUAAGAUUUGAGACUCUAGCUCUCCGUGUUCACAGCGGACCUUGAUUUAAUGUCAUACAAUUAAGGCACGCGGUGAAUGCCAAGAGCGGAGCCUUCAACCUUCAGCAUGGCCUAAUUAAACCCUGGAAUCAAAAGGACAUCAAAAAAAAAAAAAAAACAGUGAUGAGAUUUGGGCCUUACACACAUACAUUGAAAGUCUGUAAGUCUUGAUUUUUACUUCAAUAAAAUUAAGCAUGACAACCAUUA